AAAAUAUUUGACAAGCCUUCUCUCUUUUAUGAAAAUGUAACAAUUUAAAAUAAAAUUGCAUAAUUACGUUAUAAAUUAUUAUCAGAGCUGUAAAAAGUUAAUGAAAAAAUUUACAUCAAGGGUAUUCGAUUUUAGAAAAUUCUGAUGCAUAAAACAAAAGAAAACUUGUUAAACUUUUUUCUGUACUACUUAUUUUUUAUUUAUUUUCUAUUUUCCUAAAUGUUGUUUAUAUGAAGUAAAAAUGUAAAAUAUUGAAUAAAUGCGCUUUAGAAGACGCAUUCAGCAACUUUUCUCUACUUCAUAAAUAUUUUUCUAAUCUUUCUUUCACUCGUCGGAACUAAUUGUUUCUGAUUGUAAUGGGUAUAAAUUCAGCGGAAGAUAUUAACAACGCCACGUAACCGUAAUUUGCGGUAUUUUGAAUUAAAUCUUUUGUAAAAUAUCUACGUUGCCGCACUUGUGUUUCAAAUGGAAGAUACAUUGUAAUGUAAACGUCCCAGUUUCCCGCUUCGUCGUCUAUCGACCCCUGGAAAUGCAGUUUCUCCCGCACUCCCGUGGAGUGCUAACUUUAAUUAAGUGCUGAUAAGCGAAAACGCCGUGAAUUUAUUUCAGAUCCAAAGAGAAAUAUUAGAAUUCCGUUACGCUCGGAGCUUUACAUAUCUUGGCGCUAUUUAAGCGCUGUCGAGCUCAUAAUCAACUGUAAACAAUAACAGAUUUAUUGCCGAUAAAGGUAAUAUCUACUAAUUUUCGCACGUUCACGUUAACCGAUAUCAUCAGGAAUUCCACUGCGGUAUCGCCACGUGAUAAUUUUCUACAUUAAUGUAUCCUAUUCACGAUAUUGUCGUAAAUGAAAUUUAUCUUCAUUACUGGCGAACAAUAUAUUAUUUCGUAUUACAUCUGUCCCUGAAUGCGGAGACUUUCAUAAAUUUUUUGGGUGUGUAUCAUAUGUACAUAAAACCAUUUGAAUGUUAAUAAGUAUUUUCUUAAGAGUAAAUGUUGCGUAAUAAUUGCACAAACAUGCCAGUUGGAAAGAUGAGAUACAGAGAGAGAGAGAGAGAGAGAGAGAGAGAGAGAGAGAGAGAGAAAGAGAGUCAAAAAAUGUAUUAUAUUCAACAUACAGAGUAAUGGUUUUUACCGAACUACGUGCUUGCGACGUUUUUCCGAUGGUGGGUUCAAUUAUCUAUUGGUCUGCUUCAUUAAUUUCCAGGGGACCAUUAAAGUAAUUAUUGCGACCCAAUAAUAUUCACCCGACACUCAUUCAUUCCAUACAGUUAAUUAGUGCAGUAAUUACAUUACAUACGCACGUGUAUUAAAGUUAAAACAACGCUAUCACCUAAACGAAGAUCUAUAUUUAUUCGUGACGAUGGUGGCGUGAAAUUAUCAGAAUGAAGAAUAAUUAAUUACCUACAUUAAUUAUCUCUUUCCGCUUGCGAAAUUAUUUUUUUUUCAUAAUCCAGAGGGCAGAAUAAAAUUACAUUUGCAAAAAUAUAUUUAUAGCGAUUAAACUUUACAUAUCCGAUAAUCCAUUUGCCGCAAAAUUAUAUUGCGCACAUCUCAUCAUUUAAUUAAAAAAAUAAAAGUUACAAAUUUAUUUUCUGUAUAUAAAUAGUAAUUUGAUAAAAAAUUGCUUGUCGUUAUUAACGCCGACACGUUACUUUUACACAAUUUUAUCUUUCCUAUUUUUCGCGUCACUACAGAUAUUAUGGUCCCUUUUUGCUCUCAUGACUCUUCUGAAAACGUAUAUUUCGCGCGUUACAUAAUUUAUAUACGCAUUUUUCUCGUUGCAAAGGCAAAUAUCGUUCUUCCCUAAGACAUCCUCAGCAGCACGUGCAAUUAUCCAAGUUUUCGGAUCGCUUGAUUUAACUAUUUUUAUUGAGAGAUGCGCAAACGGGGGAAAAAAAUAUAUAUAUAGUACGCCAAGAGACUGAAUUUUUCAUGAGUCGUCCCUACGUACGAGGAUUACAAAUUGGAAAAAAUUGUGUCCAUAGUUGUGGACGUUGUAGAGGCAAAAAGAUUAAACUAGCAAGGUAGCGAGGGGAAUAAUUAACCAGUCGUCCGUCGGUCGGACGGAAGCGGACAUUUUUCAUCUGACCGCGGCGAAUUGCAUUACUCGAUGCCGCAUUAAUUAGUCGCGCCGCGACGGUGACGUGAUUGCGCAUGUCGAAUCCGCGCGCAUCGGCCGAUAGACAGAUAGAAAAUCGUAUCUGGGCCGCGGGAACGCGGACGUGGACGCGAGCCCCUUGUAAAAUGUAAAUUCUCCGCGAUUAACUCGAUUAAUCCCCCGCAGCACCGAUCGCGUCUCGAUAGCGUUGUUUUCGCGCAGUCGAGAUGCAUCGGCGCGAUGGCAUCGGGGGCACGGCACGGGGAUAGUAGAUCCACGGAUUUCGCUUGUUUCUCUAAGCCCAUUAAAGCAGGGGUUCGCAAAACCCGUCCGUCAGACUGUUUAUAUUCCAAACCACCGGGUAACCGUUGACUUUCAAAGAAAAACACGCGCGAAACUGGAGCGCAACGAAUGUUUGAGAAUCUUAAAUUGAAAAAAAGGAGCCUGAUAAUCUAACGAGAUCCUCUUUGGAGAAUAAAAGACGAGAGAGGACGAAAUUUCUGGCAGCUGCGCUUAACGAUAUGUUCACACUCAUUUUAACGUUUUUUUUUUUUUUUUGGAGUUUUCGAUAAAAUAUUCCCUUCGUACCGUUUUUCCUUCGCUCAAAGUAUCCUCAAUCCUCACUCGCGAAUAGCCCCCGUCGUCGUUGAAAUCCAAUGCGGCUCGGCUUACUCGCUGCCUCACGAGGCUCUACCUUCGAAUGGGUUGAAGAGGCAGCCAAAGAGAGGAUUGAGGGAAGAGAGAGAGAGGGAGGGGGUUUCGCGAAUCCUCUCUGAACAAUUGAACGAUUAUCGGGAGAUUUGCUGCCGUUCAGCCGCGAUUCCGAAAGAUGAUGGCCUCGUGUCUACUCCAUCUUGUGAAUUAUUCAACGGUUCUGGAACGAAAUUUUAUCUAUCCUCGCCCUUCUCCCAUCUCCAGCUUAUGUAAUUUCCUUCUGUUCGCGAACGACGACACGUUGUUAUCGAAUGCGAUUUCAUGUUUAUGCGAAACGAAACGUCGGGAACGAAUUAUCGGCGCAAGCUGGUGAGAAAAGAGAUAAGGGUGCAUUUUGCCUUUGGUACAUAAAUGAAGUAGCGUCGUUCCUGGCUAUCAUUUUUAUAAUGUCAUUUAUUAUUUUGACAACGAAUCGAUCUGAGAGCGUGUAAUUACCGGUGAGACCGUUGUGAUCCGUGCAGUUGAUGCAGUUGAAAGAGCGCUCGAAAUGUUUAUCCGAAAUUCGACGCGAUGCCAUGCCGCGUGUCGCCGGCGUUCAUAGUUUCAAAUGUCGAAUCGGUCAUUCGGGAACUAUUUACAUUGGGCGAUACGGAUCUUUUGUUCCCGCGUUUGAUCGCCCUCGAAAAAGCGUGACGCGCUUAGAUAUUCGAUACCAAACAUUGCAGUUGAAAUUUAUUCAACCUUUGCGGUUAAAAAAAGGAUAUUAAUACGUAAGGAUGUUUUGUGGUGGGUCUUGUACAAUCACGCUGCACGUAGAAAUUUGAAAGCACCAAAAUACUUUCGAGCAAAAGCGAAUAAAAUGGGAUGCUUAGUGGCCACUUUGCGUUCGAAAUUUUUGUUGGUUUUUCGGUAAAUUUCGGUUACUGGCCGGCCCCGAUCGUUUUACACGUACAAAACGAAAAUCCGCUGGAGGCGUUAUAAAGUGAAGGGGUUUACGAGAUCGCAUAAACGAUCGACGCGAUGCGACGCGGCAUCGGAUCCGCGAGAACUUCCCGUCAUCUCUUUCGCCGGUUAUUACCCGAUAAACUCCGAUAAAUUUUACGAUCGAUUCCCGAACGUCAGCCCGAGUUCAACGUCGGUAACCGAACGAGAGAGAGACAGAUAUUUUACUUUCUCUCUCGUGAAUCUUCAACUCGCGGGUCUUUCUAAUCGAAUUUUAUGCAAAGGAUCGGUCCUUCUUUCGCGGAUGUAACAAUGAAAAAAUUUCAUCUUAAAAUAACACUUGAAUGAAAAUGUCUCGGAUAAUUACAAGACUCUAUAUUGAAAAAAGUUUUUUAUGUUCAAAUAAAUAUAUUUAUUUUCUUGAUUUGAAUUAAUAUUAGCUAAUAAGUUAUUAAAAUAA